GCUCAUAACUCUUUUAUUGCUAGUCCUAUUUUACUCAAAGUUUUGUUGAUCUUAUUCUUUGAUUUUUCUGCUUUCACAAAAGCUAACUUGCUCCAAGAGUUUCAUUCUCCUUUAAUUGUUGUCAUUUCUCCAUGGUUGGAUACAGCUACUGGCGACUAGAACUCGUAGACUAGCAUUUAACACUCGGCAAAUAUAUUCUAUUCAUAAAAUAGGGAGAGUGUUUAUUAUUAUGCAAAUGUUUGGAUGUUCGGUGCGAUCAGCGCUCACACCCAUUCAACACAAUACAGCAAUAGGUGUACUGUUACACCAUUACAUAAAUGCACUAUCUCCCUCAACAACAGUGGAUCGACUAUAUAUUAUAAUCACUGUGUGCAGGAUAGCAACCGGUAAUAUCCCUUUCUAUCUACUGCAAAUACGCUGAUCAAGUGCACAUAUUACUUCCGAAUUGAGAUCAUUAUCAUCUAGUAUAAUUCUACCACAUCAAGAUGGCACAACCGCCACCACCACCACAAAUGGCAAUGAACCCCAUAGGGGCACAGCCGGGCGGGAAGCCCCCUGUCAACUGGAUGCCUGCCCCCACAGUUGCUGCACCUCAAGGAUGCCCGCCAGGUCUGGAAUACCUCACGCAAGUCGAUCAGCUGCUUGUUCACCAGAUCGUCGAACUCUUCGAAAUGUUCACUGGUGUUGAGAUGGCAAACAGAUAUGCCAUCAAGAAUAGUCUUGGUCAACAGGUCUACUUUGCUCACGAAGAGUCAGACUUCUGCAUGCGUCAAUGUUGUGGACCCCAGCGUGGCUUUAUCAUCCACAUCACAGACAAUAGUCAACAGGAGGUGAUGCGUCUUGAACGUGAAUUCAAGUUCUGUGCUGGUUGUGGAUGGUGCGCUGGUCCUGACAGUGAAACCUGUUCUUUUGAGGUCAGGGUCGAAGCCCCAGUGGGAAACAUCAUCGGAUACGUAAGACAGGCGCAAUAUUACCUUGGGCCCAAGUUUGACAUUCUUGAUGCUGAGAGGAAACCCGUAGUCAAGAUCAAAGGACCCUACUGUAUGUGUCAAGACAUCUGUUGCCAAGGAGAUAUCGAAUUCGAUGUCUUUACCGGUGACAUGGCUUCAACGAUUGGAAAAGUAUCAAAACAAUGGCCAGGAUGUUUUAAGCACGCGUGGACUGACGCUGACAACUUUGGUGUGACAUUCCCUGUCGAUCUGCAUGUGAACGUGAAGGCGACCCUCUUGGCGGCUGUGUUCCUUAUUGACUUCAUGUUCUUUGAGACGUCAAACAAUAACAACAAUUAAUCACCAGGACUUUAUGUUCUUCGAGGAAUCGAACAACGGCGACAGUGGCUAAACAGGAUUUCAUGUUCUUCGAGACAUCAAACAACAACAACAACAAUAAUUAAGAAGAAUGAUCACCAAGCAUCCACGAUACCGAUUACGAUAUUCCAAAUGUGCCAUGUUGUCUGUAAAUUGCGGUUUAUUUUCUUCAAUGAUUGUAACAUUAUAUUGUCUGAUAAUGAAACAUCUAGGUGAUGGAAUAAUAGAUUUCUUAAAGACAUUACGUCACGAGAUUUAUAUAGGUAGCGAUCGAUUCGCAGUCACCAAUUUGAUUAGGCAGAUUGACAUCAACAAAAUAAGUUGAGUAUGCGAUUUACAUUUUUAAAUGUAACUAAAGACUUGAUAGAGACUGAUCAGAAUACUUUGAAAUAUAAGAACCUGGAAAAUGUAUAUGAAUCCUUUAAUAUAAGGCCUAGAUAAUACUCUGCACUCGCGGAAUAAACGGGUGCGACCGUCCCCCUCUUUAAUGCCGCUCGUAAUUAUUAUCAGCGCCAUCUCUAGUUCUCGUGACGUAUUGGCUUUGAUAAAUGUUAUUACUAUAGUGGGUAACUGUAAUUUAUGCAACAUAAAAUUAAAGAGUUUUGCGGAGAUAUGCUUUCAUUUAUUGUUUUCAGUGGUAUUUGUAAUGGAAAUAAACAUCAAAGUCAAUAUAUCAUUUGUUUUUUCUCCAGAUUCUUGAAAUUUUAUGAAAGGUGGUUGUGACCUUUUAACACAGACAAUCACCAUGGGUAUACUUUUUUAUAAUUCGUAUUCAUAUCCAGUGAUGCAUUCAUUAAUCCGAUCUAAUAUCUCAUUAAAAUAUUAGAUUGACUACGGGAACUGUAUUUAUGACGUCAUGAAAUAUCAUUCAAACAAUAUUUAUCUUUUAAAAUGUAUAUUAAUAGAGGCUGAGCAUCACACACUGUUCUACAUUUGGUGAACAUACGCAGAAGUUUAUGAACAUCUGACGUGUUGUGCAUGAUGUAUUAAGGUACAGUUACAUCAACUAAGCCGACUCCAGUCCGAUCAAAGCUAUUACAUUAUUCCCAAUGGCAUACCAUCGAGAUCGGUUUGGAGUCGGUUUCGUUGGUGUGACUUUAACAUAUAGUAAGAAUGUAUUUUAGAGGCUUUGGGUAAAGGUUAUUUCUAACGUAUAUGAUAUUUUUGUGUAAAUAUAAAACUGUUAUUCCAUGUUUUCUGUUUUCUAUAUAACACCAUCAUCAUUCCGAAUUGAAUUAAGGUUUGCGGUUCUCAUAAGUUUCUGUUGUAUAAUUUCAAAUGAUUGGAAAGUAAAGAUAGAAAAAUGAUGAGAAUAAUUUUAGCGCACAACCAAAAGACAUGUUAAUCAGGGCUGAUAAUAGGACUAUAGAUAUUCCUACUUCCAUAACCAUUAUAGAAGGCUUAAUUUUUCAACAAUACACCCCCCCCCCCCUCCCUCCAUCCACCCGAAAAAAGAAUAACAGAUAAGACAAAAGAUGAUUUUUCAUCGCAAAAUCAGUUGUGUUGCAACUACACCAGAGAAUCACCCCUAGCACUUUAUACCCAUAUGUGUCGUCAUAACACAUUCUCAUUUCAACAUCAUCCGGUGUUGUGUUCAAACUGCAUGGUGUAGGCCAGUGGCGGAUCGGGGGGGGGGGGGCACAUCCGGCCCGUCCCCCCCCCCCUUGAGAGUCAUAGGCAAUAUUUUUAAUGUAAAUAUGCUGUUCAUACACAAGUGUACCCCCCCCCUCCUUUGAAAGUCACAAUAUAUAUUUUGAAUGGGAACAUGUCAAAUUUUUGUAGGAGAAUGUGCCCCCCCUUUUUUUUUGGGGGGGGGGUGAAUCUUGGAUCCGCCCCUGGUGUAGGUCUAUUUUUAACACCUGCAUGUGUUGUAUUCUCACAACACUAACCGGUGUCGUCUUGACACCGUACUCUUUAUAGUAUAUGAAUUCAAAAUAUGUGCUUAUAGCACCGGGUGUAAGGUGUAAUUAUAUUCAUUUUGAUUGUGUUAAUAUGACUGAAGUCUGUCCAAACUUGCGAUGAACUUCAACUCGAUCGUGAGAAUCGCAGGUCUUUAUGAUAACACAGAAUAGUAGAAAAUUUUUAAGUGAAUAAUGCAUGCCUCCAAAAUCAUUGAGAAUUAAAUUUUGAUAUCUUUGUUCUUGAAACCAACAAAGAAAGAUAACAAGAUACCGUUCACAUACCUAUUGAGUAUUAAAAUUCUUGGAUGUAAACCCACCCCCACCCUCACACUUACCCCACUCACACGCAUCACUCGUGUACCACAUUUUUUAUAGCAAGUUUUUAUUGAAAAUCACGAUAAAGCGCUUCCUUUUUAUAGAGGACCAGAGCUUAUAUCCGAAUGUAGACAACAUUAGUGUAGAAUAUUUUGUACAUUUAUUGUGGUAAAUUUGGUAUCUCGUUAGUAUAAAGUAUGUAAUUUUUUUCUUUGGAAAGCUUUUAGAUUUGUAAUGCCCUACAUCUCACGUUUAGUAUUUAACGAAGUAGCAUAUUAUCAUAUAGUCGAUGAACACGUACGAUCAGAUAAAAAGAUUGAAUAAUAUUUCCCAUGUGAAUUUGAACUUUUAAAUCAUAUGUGGAAUAAUAUCUGACCAAACAUAAUAUUUGUGUCCUUUGGGAUAGUUUAGGUAUUUUCUGUAUGGCAUAGAUUAAACACUUUUGCCUAAGAACGAGGCACUAUAGGCCCUAUAGAAUUGUCCAAUUUGUACUUUUCCAACACUAUGUAAUUUUAUUCUUUUACACUUCAAUGUCAUCUUAUCUUAACUUGUAUAUUAAAAGUGGUUUAGUUUAAUUUGUGUCUUAUUAUCAGCUCGUUUAUACCAAAAAUACAUAAAUUUGAUAUAUUAUCAUUCUAGUUAUUUAUUUUCAUAUUAUUUAGGAUAUGUGCCUUUCAUGACUGUAUUAUAACCCUCCCCCCUCUCCCUCUCCCUCUCCUUCUCUCUCUCUGGGCUUUGAUUAUGAGAUUUGAAUUGAUUGUUGUGCUUUAAAAUCCUUCCAUUGGCUCACGUAUAAUGCAAAUUUUAUAUCAUUACGCAGUCUUUCAGAUUCAUCGAUGGAUUGCUAAUUACACAAUGCUGUAAUAAUUAUAUAUGUAUAGUUUCUUCAUACAUUGACCUAUAUAUUUUACAUCCUAUGCCUUCUGUAAUGGAUUAUUAGGAAAUGAGAUGGACCAUCCAUGAUGUAUUUGUAUAAAGCUGACUGUUAAAUGAAUGUGUUCAUCGCUUGGAUGGCCGAAUUUUUGGAACAACCGGGAAAUGUAAAUGUCAAACAUGAAAAUUGAAGACAAAAUAGCUUAUUUAAGUUUGGAAUGCAUGAUUCUAAGUAAAAGGAGGCCUAAUUAUAUGCUAAUGAAAAACAAAGUUCCUAUAUACCAAAUCUACCACUGACAGCACAUGGCGUCAUCAUGCGAUUUUGAAUUAAAAGGGCCGACAUGAACCUCUGUAUAUGAAUUUGAUAAUUGAAAUAUUUUUCCGUUAUGAUUUUUGUUGUUUAUAUCAUAAUGAGUUUGCAAAAAAAAAUCUUUCGCAAAUCGACUGAAUCUAUUACAGUAUGAAGAGUGUUCUGGUAUGAUGUGUUCUAACACAGUACAUCAAGAGAGAGGUCGGGUGGCUUUUUCGAGCGUAUUGAUAUCGAAAAUUUUGGAAGAAUUAAAGUGGUAGGCCCUAUUACCGAUAUUUUCAUUUCUUUGAUAUGUUUUGUAUGCAUGGUAAAUAAAAUAUAGUGAUUUAUAAUCAAAAGUAGAAUUUAUGUUAUUUUCUUAUCUGUAGAGAGUUACUGUUUUAGUUGUGAAUUUAUAUGAUUGAAAUCAACUCUUGCAGUGACGUUAUUUGCUCUUGGGUCGUAGAGUCUAAUUUAUCAAAGCCUGUAUAAUGGAUUAAUGUAUAUACAUGAACUAAUAAAAUAGUGUUGUAUAAUAA